rnacentral:rRNA from 1 species
GAUGAACGCUGGCGGCGUGCCUAAUACAUGCAAGUCGAGCGAACGGACGAGAAGCUUGCUUCUCUGAUGUUAGCGGCGGACGGGUGAGUAACACGUGGAUAACCUACCUAUAAGACUGGGAUAACUUCGGGAAACCGGAGCUAAUACCGGAUGAUAUUUUGAACCGCAUGGUUCAAAAGUGAAAGACGGUCUUGCUGUCACUUAUAGGUGGAUCCGCGCUGCAUUAGCUAGUUGGUAAGGUAACGGCUUACCAAGGCAACGAUGCAUAGCCGACCUGAGAGGGUGAUCGGCCACACUGGAACUGAGACACGGUCCAGACUCCUACGGGAGGCAGCAGUAGGGAAUCUUCCGCAAUGGGCGAAAGCCUGACGGAGCAACGCCGCGUGAGUGAUGAAGGUCUUCGGAUCGUAAAACUCUGUUAUUAGGGAAGAACAUAUGUGUAAGUAACUGUGCACAUCUUGACGGUACCUAAUCAGAAAGCCACGGCUAACUACGUG